rnacentral:rRNA from 1 species
GACGAACGCUGGCGGCGUGCUUAACACAUGCAAGUCGAACGGUAAGGCCCUGCUCUUGUGGGGUGCUCGAGUGGCGAACGGGUGAGUAACACGUGAGUAACCUGCCCUUGACUUUGGGAUAACUUCAGGAAACUGGGGCUAAUACCGGAUAGGAGCUCCUGCGGCAUGGUGGGGGUUGGAAAGUUUCGGCGGUUGGGGAUGGACUCGCGGCUUAUCAGCUUGUUGGUGGGGUAGUGGCUUACCAAGGCUUCGACGGGUAGCCGGCCUGAGAGGGUGACCGGCCACAUUGGGACUGAGAUACGGCCCAGACUCCUACGGGAGGCAGCAGUGGGGAAUAUUGCACAAUGGGCGGAAGCCUGAUGCAGCAACGCCGCGUGCGGGAUGACGGCCUUCGGGUUGUAAACCGCUUUCGCCUGUGACGAAGCGUGAGUGACGGUAAUGGGUAAAGAAGCACCGGCUAACUACGUG